UUUUAUAUCAGCUCAUGAUAGCUAACUAAUUGAUCUAAUCAAACUAGACGAUUUCUUGAACUGAUACAAAUUUAAUUUCAAGAGAUUUUCUACCAAAACUAUAAGCUAAAUUAAGUAGCAAAUUGUGACUCAAGUCAAUUAUGUCAACAGUAUCUUCUUUCACCGAACGCGCCAUCAUCGGUAACGUCGAUCGGAUUGGUGCAGAUAAAAGGAAAGACUAGAGAAAAUAGUUCAUACGAAUAUUGGAUAACAUUAUGUGUACCAUCGGAAUGGCUCUGGUAAACUGGAAAAUGCUUAUAAAUCAGUGAUGAAUUGUAUGCCAUUGAUAAAACGUAAUUAAGAGCAAGUAUCUAAAAAUUAACUAUUGUUGAAAGCUUCAUUUACGUGGACAAAUCUGGUGAAUACAAAAAAAAGCUGAAACAAAAAGGCUACAAUUGAUGCAAAGAAACAAAGAGAUCAAAAGGACAGCCAAUGAAUGCGUUUUCACCUCUGAUUCUAUUUCUUUUCUUUUAUAUUCUCCCUAAGAGACAUUUCAUCAAUUUGGAAUCAUGAUUAUUCGAGAAAAAGGAUCCAAAUAAUCAACACGUAGCAUGGACAUAAAGUAGGACGGAAAACAAAAGCAAUGGAAACACUUGAGUGAUUUGGUUACCUUGCCUCAUCUUUUAUAUGUUCAACUCAAUUUAAACUCACUUACACUGAUUUACAGAUUGUCUUUAUGGCUGCUGCUCUUACACAAUUAACGAAAAAUCAAUAGAUUGACAAUGUAUGCUAAACCGGAGGUUAAAAAAGCUUAA